rnacentral:rRNA from 1 species
UGAUGGAGCACGCCGCGUGAGUGAUGAAGGUUUUCGGAUCGUAAAACUCUGUUGUAAGGGAAGAACACGUACGAGAGGUAAUGCUCGUACCUUGACGGUACCUUACGAGAAAGCCACGGCUAACUACGUGCCAGCAGCCGCGGUAAU